rfam:Psychrobacillus sp. FJAT-21963 super3, whole genome shotgun sequence.
UGUCAUUCUAGGCUACCUAAAAUCGCGACAUCCAUGUCGCAACGAUCGCAUGACCCACUUCCUGUGGG